GCCCCCGUAGCUCAGCUGGUAGAGCAGCCGCCUCUUAAGCGGAAGGUUCGCAGGUUCGAAUCCUGCCGGGGGCA
rnacentral:tRNA from 1 species